CCUACGGGAGGCUGCAGUGAGGAAUAUUGGUCAAUGGGCGAAAGCCUGAACCAGCAACGUCGCGUGAGGGAUGAAGGUUCUAUGGAUCGUAAACCCCUUUUAUAAGGGAAGAAAGUGAGGGACGUGUCCUGACUUGGAUGUACCUUAUGAAUAAGGAUCGGCUAACCUCGUGCCAGCAGCCGCGGCAAUACGGAGGAUCCGAGCGUUAUCCGGAUUUAUUGGGUGUAAAGGGUGCGUAGGCGGUCUUUUAAGUUAGAGGUGAAAGCAUCCGGCUCAACCCGAGAAGGGCAGUGGAAACUGGGAGGCUUGAGUAUGUUAGAGGCAAGCGGAAUGCGUGGUGUAGCGGUGAAAUGCUUAGAGAUCACGCAGAACCCCGAUGGCGAAGGCAGCCUGCCAGUCCAUAACUGACGCUGAUGCACGAAAGCGUGGGGAUCAAACAGGAUUAGAUACCCUAGUAGUC
rnacentral:rRNA from 1 species